rnacentral:rRNA from 1 species
CAGUCGCCACGGUAAAACGAAGGGUGCAAGCGUUAAUCGGAAUUACUGGGCGUAAAGCGUGCGUAGGCGGUUUGUUAAGUCUGCUGUGAAAUCCCCGGGCUCAACCUGGGAAUGGCAGUGGAUACUGGCAAGCUAGAGUGUGUCAGAGGAUGGUGGAAUUCCCGGUGUAGCGGUGAAAUGCGUAGAGAUCGGGAGGAACAUCAGUGGCGAAGGCGGCCAUCUGGGACAACACUGACGCUGAGGCACGAAAGCGUGGGGAGCAAACAGGAUUAGAUACCCCAGUAGUCCCUGUCUCUUAUAC